rnacentral:rRNA from 1 species
CCUGCCAGUAGUCAUAUGCUUGUCUCAAAGAUUAAGCCAUGCAAGUCUGAGUAUAAUUGGUUUACGGUGAAACUGCGAAUGGCUCAUUAAAUCAGUUAUAGUUUAUUUGAUGCUAUAGGCCGCAAGGCCACUACAUGGAUAUCUGUAGUAACAUAGAGCUAAUACAUGCAAUAUAGUCUGACUUUUUGGAAGGACUAGCACUUAUUAGAUAUUAAACCAGUCCCAGCAAUGGGUUUUAUGGUGAUUCAUAGUAACUGAACAAAUCACACGGUCUUGUACUGGUGAUGUUUCAUUCAAAUUUCUGCCCUAUCAACUAGAUGGUAGUAUAUAGGACUACCAUGGUUGUAACGGGUAACGGAGGAUUAGGGUUUGAUUCCGGAGAAGGAGCAUGAGAAACGGCUACUAUUUCUAAGGAAAGCAGCAGGCGC